AGAACGAACGCUGGCGGCAUGCCUAACACAUGCAAGUCGAACGAGACCUUCGGGUCUAGUGGCGCACGGGUGGCGUAACGCGUGGGAAUCUGCCCUUAGGUACGGAAUAACAGUGAGAAAUUACUGCUAAUACCGUAUGAUGUCUUCGGACCAAAGAUUUAUCGCCUAGGGAUGAGCCCGCGUUGGAUUAGCUAGUUGGUGGGGUAAAGGCCUACCAAGGCGACGAUCCAUAGCUGGUCUGAGAGGAUGAUCAGCCACACUGGGACUGAGACACGGCCCAGACUCCUACGGGAGGCAGCAGUGGGGAAUAUUGGACAAUGGGCGAAAGCCUGAUCCAGCAAUGCCGCGUGAGUGAAGAAGGCCUUCGGGUUGUAAAGCUCUUUUACCCGGGAAGAUAAUGACUGUACCGGGAGAAUAAGCCCCGGCUAACUCCGCGCCAGCAGCCGC
rnacentral:rRNA from 1 species